CCUACGGGUGGCUGCAGUGGGGAAUAUUGGACAAUGGGCGAAAGCCUGAUCCAGCCAUGCCGCGUGUGUGAAGAAGGCCUUCGGGUUGUAAAGCACUUUCAGUGGGGAAGAAAGCCUUGGGGCUAAUACCCUCGAGGAAGGACAUCACCCACAGAAGAAGCACCGGCUAACUCCGUGCCAGCAGCCGCGGUAAUACGGAGGGUGCGAGCGUUAAUCGGAAUUACUGGGCGUAAAGCGCGCGUAGGCGGUCUGAUAAGCCGGUUGUGAAAGCCCCGGGCUCAACCUGGGAACGGCAUCCGGAACUGUCAGGCUAGAGUGCAGGAGAGGAAGGUAGAAUUCCCGGUGUAGCGGUGAAAUGCGUAGAGAUCGGGAGGAAUACCAGUGGCGAAGGCGGCCUUCUGGACUGACACUGACGCUGAGGUGCGAAAGCGUGGGUAGCAAACAGGAUUAGAUACCUUGUAGUC
rnacentral:rRNA from 1 species